CAGCUGAUAACAUGACUGUUCAUCUUGAGGUGAGAUAGACCUGAACUAGACUUGAUGUGAACUUGAAACAAACUUGAGGUAGACUUGAAACAGUCAAUGCUUCAUCUUAUCCCAGACUCAGAGCAGUGUCCAGUUUUGAGUCCAUCCACGAGCACUAAAGUUCCUGAGGUGAGCAUUAGAGUCCAAUGUCCAAAAGUCCAUUUAAACACCAGGACGCGGCUGUCAUCUCCUGGAAUGACAGAAAACAUACGGCAGUCUCUUGUGGAAAAUAAAUGUCACAUUAAAAAUGAAAAUUAAAAACAAAACUCAAAGUCAUGUGUCUUGAAAUUAUAACCACAAGUUUAAUCACUGAAGCUUAUCUCUGAUUUUGUGAGAAAUUCCACCCCCCUUUUAUCAAAACCUCUGUAUUAUGUAAAUAUGAAGACACAGAAAUCCAAAAUGUUGAAAUAAAAAUAAAACAAAACAAAAUUCACAAGGAAGAGUAAAUCUUUCUUUCCUUCACUAAAAAUCAACACAGACAUAUGUCAACACAUAGAGUAAAUGUCAAAAAACAACAAAAUCAGAUUAAAUGUAGAAAAACUUCAAAGAGGGAUGUCUUACCCUCAGAAUGAGCUGAACUACAAAAAUAACAAACAAAAUCAAUCUAUCUAAGCCCAAAUCACUUACCUACAAAUGAAAAUCCAAACAAAAGACAUUAUGUUCUAACCUCCAUGGACUAAAAAACACGAGAAAACUCCAUAUCAAAAUAAAAUAUCACUCAUUCUUACAAACAGAGCCCUCAAAUUAUAGAAAAACUUCAAACAAACAACUUAAUAAAGGUACACCUCCAAAUUUCCUGACGUACUUCAAAACCCCUCAUCUGACACCUCACCAAACCAUCACUAACAGAGUCAACCUCUGUUUCAUUUUCAACUUCCUCAAAAUCCAUUUUACCAUUUUAUCCACAAACACCUUUUUACCAACAUCCACUUUCCAACCAAGUCAUAAUAGUAUUUGUUGAUUGACAAAGAACAGCAUAUGCUAACCUACCCCAGUAAUUCAGUUUUCUUUAAUCCUCCCACAGUAAUUAUUAACUCCAAAACUUAGUUUUCACCCAAAAAGUCUUUGGACCAUCAUGAACACACACAGGAUUGUCUAUUUUGUUAUAUGGAAGUGUCAGAGGUGGUGGUGGAGCUCUGUGACUCUUCGUAGAUCUCGGUUUAGUGCGAGAGACUGGAGAUGGAGGGUUAACUGGAUCUGGACAUGGCGUUUGUUUGAUCUUAAUCUCAUCAGGUUCUUUCAUGUUGUCAGCAGAAUCCAGGAGAGGACAUUCCACUUGCUGUCCUGUUGGGGUCUCAGAGUCCAAGAGAUCCUCUGUUUGUGAUGCUGAUGAAUCCAGUUGUUCUUCAGGUUCUUCAGCUUGAAGUAGCUCCUCUCUCUCUGAUUCUCUCUCUGAUUCUGAUUCUGAAGCAGUCUCCAUAUCAGUAACUGGCACACUGUGUUCCACUGAUAUCUCAGUUUUCUCCAACUGUCCUUCAGACGUCAGCUGUUGUGGUUCAUCUGUGUCCAGAACUCUGUUCAGGAAAUACUUCAUGUUUGAAACCAGUAGUUGUGCUCCAGUUUGAUUCAGAGUCAUUCCAUCAGACCUGAAUAGAUGUUUUCUUUCCCAGAAGAGAUCAAAAUUGUCCACAUAUCUCACAAAAUGGUUAGCACAGGAUUUUUCCAAAAAACCAUUAAGAG